rnacentral:rRNA from 1 species
GAUGAACGCUGGCGGCAUGCUUUACACAUGCAAGUCGGACGGGAAGUGGUGUUUCCCGUGGCGGACGGGUGAGUAACGCGUAAGAACCUGCCCUUGGGAGGGGAACAACAGCUGGAAACGGCUGCUAGUACCCCGUAGGCUGAGGAGCGAAAGGAGGAAUCCGCCCAAGGAGGGGCUCGCGUCUGAUUGGCUAGUUGGGGAGGUAAUAGCUUACCAAGGCCGUGAUCAGUAGCUGGUCCGAGAGGAUGAUCAGCCACACUGGGACGGAGACAAGGCCCAGACUCCUGCGGGAGGCAGCAGUGGGGAAUGUGCCGCAAUGGGCGGAAGGCUGACGGAGCAAUGCGGCGUGGAGGUAAAAGGCCUACGGGUCAUGAACUUCUUUUCCUGGAGAAGAAACAAUGACGGUAGCUGGGGAAUAAGCAUCGGCUAACUCCGUG